rnacentral:lncRNA from 1 species
UUUUAGAGUUGGGUUUUAAGUGAUGGUGUUGGACCGGUUGGGGAAAAGCCCAAAUCCUUUCUCUUCUCUCUCUUCCCUCCCGAUUCUCUCUCCCUCUCCCUCCGCCGGAUUUUCUUCCAGGCCGUUCGCCGCCGUCCGGUCGCCUCUGACCGCCGGGCCGGUCCCAAACGGACGGCCAUCGACCCAGCCUUCUUCCUGGACCGGUGAAAGGAUCCCUAGCGCCGCCGUGAGAGAGCAUUGCCGCUCAAGAGGUUCGACUGCCUAGAACUUCCGGUCAUCGGAACUCCCUCCUCCGGCCACCAAAACCGGCGAUCCUUGGCUCGUUUUGUAGCCCUCCUCCCGUGCAGCAACCCCUCCAAACAGCUCACCCUCUCUUGAGCUAGGUAAGGAGAAAUGUGAAGUUGAAAUUCUAGAGCGUUUUUGAUGUUUUUAGUCGGUUACCCUAGUUAGGCUUGGAAUUAGUGUUUGUGCUAGUUAGGAAAGUUGUAGAGCAUGAUGAGAGGAUUAUUCUGUCAAAAUUUCAUAGGCAUUGGAGGUCACCGGAAUCGGCCUCCGGCCGCUGCUGCCGGCGGAGCCGCCACUGUUUGGAAGAUUUUUAGGGUUUUAAAUUUAGAAUAUUAAGGAGAGUUUGUUGAAGUGAGUUAUGGAAUUUUUGGAUGAGUUUUGGAUAGGUUUAUGAAUUUCCGAAGUGUGGUAUUUUUGGCGGUUAAUUAAUGUAGAAUCCGGCCGUAGGAUUUAAGUCGUAUUUUUGGGGAGGUUGUAUUUACGGCUGCCGUUUAUGGUAUUAAAGUUGGAUCGUUUUGUUUUAGGAAAGGCGAAGUUGGGCAAGGAUGAGCGUACGUGGUUACGGCUCAUAUUUAAUUUUGCCUAUUUUGUUUAAAUAUUGGAUUUUAGUUGGGAAUUUAAUUAUAUAUUUGUGCCAGGGUUCGAGGAAACCUCAUUGGAGUGGCGAUUUGGAUUUCGUCGGGCUUAUGCCUAGAGUUGUGAGUGGACCUUUAUUUUAAUUGAAAAGAAUGCGAUGAAUUAUCUGUUGAUCAUUUAUUUCUUUU